rnacentral:sRNA from 1 species
AUCAGCCGGUCUCGCGAAUGNAUUAGAUUAAAGUUUGAUCAUGGCUCAGGCCUUGGAUCUACUCCUUAGAGUUUGAUCAUGGCUCAGGGCUGGAACACCUCCUUAGAGUUUGAUCCUGGCUCAGGCUGGACCACCACCUUAGAGUUUGAUCAUGGCUCAGGGUUGGAACACCUCCUUAGAGUUUGAUCAUGGCUCAGAUUGAACGCUGGCGGCAGGCUUAACACAUGCAAGUCGAGCGGGGAAGGGUAGCUUGCUACCUAACCUAGCGGCGGACGGGUGAGUAAUGCUUAGGAAUCUGCCAUUUAGUGGGGGACAACAUUCCGAAAGGAAUGCUAAUACCGCAUACGUCCUACGGGAGAAAGCAGGGGAUCUUCGGACCUUGCGCUAAAUGAUGAGCCUAAGUCGGAUUAGCUAGUUGGUGGGGUAAAGGCCUACCAAGGCGACGAUCUGUAGCGGGUCUGAGAGGAUGAUCCGCCACACUGGGACUGAGACACGGCCCAGACUCCUACGGG